rnacentral:lncRNA from 1 species
UCACCAUGUUGGCCAGGUGCGGUGGCUCAUCACUUUGGGAGUCCAAGGCAGGCAGAUCGCCUGAGGUCAGGAGUUUGAGACUAGCCUGGCCAACAUGGUGAAACCCCAUCUCUGCUAAAAAUACAAAAAAAUUAGCCAGGCAUGGUGGCAGGCGCCUGUAAUCCCAGCUACUUGGGAGGCUGAGGCAGGAGAAUCGCUUGAAUCCGGGAGGCGGAGGUUGCAGUGAG